rnacentral:rRNA from 1 species
AGAGUUGAUCAUGGCUCAGGACGAACGCUGGCGGCGUGCCUAACACAUGCAAGUCGAGCGAGGAGAUCCUUCGGGAUGAUCCUAGCGGCGGACGGGUGAGUAACACGUGGGCAACCUGCCUCAUAGAGAGGAAUAGCCUUCCGAAAGGGAGAUUAAUACCUCAUAACAUUGCAGUUUCGCAUGGAACAGCAAUUAAAGGAGUAAUCCGCUAUGAGAUGGGCCCGCGGCGCAUUAGCUAGUUGGUGAGGUAACGGCUCACCAAGGCGACGAUGCGUAGCCGACCUGAGAGGGUGAUCGGCCACAUUGGGACUGAGACACGGCCCAGACUCCUACGGGAGGCAGCAGUGGGGAAUAUUGCACAAUGGGGGAAACCCUGAUGCAAGCAACGCCGCGUGAGUGAUGACGGCCUUCGGGUUGUAAAGCUCUGUCUUCAGGGACGAUAAUGACGGUACCUGAGGAGGAAGCCACGGCUAACUACGUGCCAGCAGCCGC